UGCUGAUUAAGAUUCUGUCAUAAGAACUCCAGGCGCAAGAUCUAGGCCCAGCAGCACCGAUGGGAACUUGAUACACUGUGGUCAAGUGUCUCUUCCUUAACCCCAAAUCUGAUGUUGAAAGCUUCACUUUGAAGACAACGGUAUUUGAAAAUGGGAGCGGGGUAAUGCUCUUGUACACGGUAAAGAUUUGUCACUCCUAUCUGUUUAACAAAACACUGACUGGCCAGUAGCCAGUCAGGAAGUAUAAGCAGGGCUACCAGACUAGGAGAAUUCUGGAAAGAAGAUACAGAGACACAGUCGCCAGCCAGAUGCAGAAGAAGCAAGAUGAGAAUGCCUUACUAAGAAAAGGUACUGAGCAAGGCACCGAGGGUUUGUUAGAGAGAGGAUGAAAGAAGAGGAACAGAAAGAGAAGCAGGACACUUCUGGGAAUUCUUUGCUUUGAAGGAGCUGUAAAGAUGAGGACAGUUCUGAGCUCACUUGGGAAGAUGCUGACUAUGACGUGAUGCCACCACACAGAAGGAGCUACAGAUGGAAGUCCCUCCUUUGGCCCUGAAACCCCAUCUACUUAUUGCCCUUUCCUGCUCCCCCAAAUCAUCACCAUAAACACCAGCUUUUUCUGUUCUCCCUUAAGCUGACCAAGGCCACCAGGCAUCCCAGCUGCCCACCACAGCUGGGGGGUCACAUCUUCUCCUUGAUACCUGGACAGCACCUGAAGCAUCUGUCACACCUUACAGGUGGCAAAGCAUCUUCCCUUAAACUCAGUACCAGUCACAAAAAAGCCUGUGUCAGUUCCAGGUCCAAUCUGGCCAAUGCUUAGCACAGUACUGAAGAACACCAACAACAGGUACGGAAUCAGUCUGCCCACUGCACACAACAGGCAAGGGUAGCUGAAACACCUCACAUAUCAAGUGCUGGUGUAAAUAAAAUAAAAUAAAAUAAAAUAAAAUAAAAACAUGGGAACUGACCAGCAGGCAGAAUGGUGUGGUUUGGAUAAGUGCCCCCAAAGGGGUCGUGAUCUAAAGGCUUGGACUCCAGCACACAUGGCUGUUGAAAAGUAUUAAAACUUUUAACUGGAGGGGCCCAAUGGGAGGGAACUACAUCUUCAGAAAUACCAGCUCCUCCCAAUUCUUCUCUGUCUCUGUCUCUCCCUCCCUCCCCUGCCUCUCUCCCCUCACAACCAAAAUAAGAGCUGUCUUCUUUACCAUAAGGCACUGCCUCAUCACACGGCCCAAAGCAAAAGCCAAACAACCAUGUUCUGAAAUCCACAAACUGAACCAGAACAAAAACCCUCCUCAUAAAGACUUCAUCGGUGUUACGGCAGACAAUUGGAAGAUGGGCUCUGCAGCAUCUCUGGCUCCCUGGCUCCAUCUCUCCGAUAUGGAGGCCCACUUUUGUCAUCACACUUCUAAACUAACACACAGACUAUUCAUAUGCAUCCAUCUAGGUCUAUUGGAACUUUCUCCUUUUACAGCACCAAUACCAGUGAGGGAGAUUAGUGGCCUCACAAAUGCACUCCAUUCCAGGUCUUGAAGCCAGAGAGUCCGAUUCUCCUCUAACUGGCCUGAAUGUCACACUGGAGUUAGAGUGCUGAGAAAUAUUUGUUUACACUGUAAACAUGUAUCUUUGGCACAGCACCUUCUGAUUGGUUUAAUAAAGAGCUGAAUAACCAAUGGCUAGGCAGGAAGAAGUUAGGCGGGAAUUCCGGAGACAAAGAGGACUCUGGGAAGAAGAAAGACAGACAAGGGGAGGAAAUGGGAGGUCCAAGAUAGAAGAGAGGUAAUGUCAUGUGGCAGAACACAGAUUUAAAAAUGUGGGUUCAUUUGAGUUAUAAGAGCUAGGUGAGGGCAGCACAAGCUAAGGCCGAGCUUUCAUAGUUAACAAUAAGUCUCCGUGUCAUUGUUUGGGAGCUGGCUGGCAAGACAGAGAAAGACUCACUCUUGAAACAAGAAGUGAGCAGGAAGGGCUGGCAACCCAGCCCACUUGAGGACUCACUGGUGCCAGGUCUGCCCAUGCCCAUCCACCACUCUGCCCUGUUAAGAAAUCCAUCCUGCCCUGCAUUCUGUGUUCUCCCUGCUGAGAAGGAAGGAAAGCAUCUGAAGGGACCAGCUCCCCAUUUCGGCAGCCAUGACAGUUACACAUGCUCGCCUGACCUUGCCUUGGCCACUAGGAGGUCAGAUGCCUGCCUCGUGGCAAGGAACCAAUCAGAAGUUAGCUGUUGGUGCUAUGCUUUACGGCUCUGGGUGUGCUUUACAGACAAGUGUGCAGCGAUGACGUGCUGAGCAUAGCAACCACCCUGGGAGGAUCCAUGGGCCAUAACAACCAGUUGGCCAAUCAACACAGGGCAAGUCCUCCAAGCCUGGAAGCACACCAAUCUGGAGACUGUUAUGUACCCCUAGACACUCCUCUUGCUCUACCCAAUAAAUUCCCCACCUUGUGGCUUCUCGGGGUUCUUCUCCAAGCAUCUGCCUUGAUGAAUGGACGAAAAGCCCUAGCUAAUGGGGUUAGCUCGUUAAACAACAA
ensembl:lncRNA